GCAUGGCCCAUGGAAGAAAAGGUGGCCUCUACCUGUAAGCUAUCGCCUGAAGAGGGGUUUGCGUCUGAUUAGCUGGUUGGAGGGGUAACGGCCCACCAAGGCGACGAUCAGUAGCCGGUCUGAGAGGAUGAACGGCCACACUGGAACUGAGACACGGUCCAGACUCCUACGGGAGGCAGCAGUGGGGAAUCUUCCGCAAUGGGCGAAAGCCUGACGGAGCAACGCCGCGUGAGUGAUGACGGCCUUCGGGUUGUAAAACUCUGUGAUCCGGGACGAAAAGGCAGAGUGCGAAGAACAAACUGCAUUGACGGUACCGGAAAAGCAAGCCACGGCUAACUACGUGCCAGCAGCCGCGGUAAUACGUAGGUGGCAAGCGUUGUCCGGAAUUAUUGGGCGUAAAGCGCGCGCAGGCGGCUUCCCAAGUCCCUCUUAAAAGUGCGGGGCUUAACCCCGUGAUGGGAAGGAAACUGGGAAGCUGGAGUAUCGGAGAGGAAAGUGGAAUUCCUAGUGUAGCGGUGAAAUGCGUAGAGAUUAGGAAGAACACCGGUGGCGAAGGCGACUUUCUGGACGAAAACUGACGCUGAGGCGCGAAAGCGUGGGGAGCAAACAGGAUUAGAUACCCUGGUAGUCCACGCCGUAAACGAUGGAUACUAGGUGUAGGAGGUAUCGACCCCUCCUGUGCCG
rnacentral:rRNA from 1 species